rnacentral:lncRNA from 1 species
GUGAAGACGCACAGAUGCAUGCUUUAUUUGCAGAUUCUUUUGCUGCUUUGGGCCGUUUGGAUAACAUUACGUUAGUGAUGGUUUUCCACCCACAAUAUUUAGAAAGUUUCUUAAAAACUCAGCACUAUCUACUGCAAAUGGAUGGGCCGUUACCCCUACAUUAUCGUCACUACAUUGGAAUAAUGGCUGCGGCAAGACAUCAGUGCUCCUACUUAGUGAACCUGCAUGUAAAUGAUUUCCUUCAUGUUGGUGGGGACCCCAAGUGGCUCAAUGGUUUAGAGAAUGCUCCUCAAAAACUACAGAAUUUAGGAGAACUUAACAAAGUGUUAGCCCAUAGACCUUGGCUUAUUACCAAAGAACACAUUGAGGUAAGCAGUGGGGUAAUAUAUCUUGGGAGUCAUUUCAGACUUUUUUAGAGCAGUUUUAGGAUUACAGAAAAAUCGCACAGAAAGUACAGAGAGUUCCUAUUUUCUACCCCCUGAAUCUCUUCCCACAGAUGCACAUUUUCUUCUGUUACAGCAUUUCUGUGGUACAUUUGCUGUAAUUGAUAUAUUACUAGUAACUCUAUAGUUCACAUUAGGGUUCAGUCUUUGCAUUGUAUCGUUCUACACAUUUUGACAAAUGCCUAAUGUCACGCAUCCAUUACAAUAUCAUAUGGAAUAGUUAGUACCCUAAAAAUGCCCUGGGUUCCACCUGUUCAUCCCUUUCCCCCCCUUUCCCCUUCCCCUAAACCCCUGCAACCACUCAUCUUUUUAUUGUUUCUAUAUAGUUUUGCCUUUUCCAGAAUGUCAUACAGCUGGAAUCAUACAAAAGUAUGUAGCUUUUCAGACUGGCUUCUUUCAUCUAGCAACAUCCAUUUAAGGCUUCUUCAUGCUUUUUCACGACUUGAUAGUUCAUUUCUUUUUAUCACUGAAUAAUUC